rnacentral:rRNA from 1 species
GGAUUAGAUACCCUGGUAGUCCACGCCGUAAACGAUGAUCACUAGUAAUGUGGGGUUUCGACCCCUUGCGUUACGAAGCUAACGCGUUAAGUGAUCCGCCUGGGGAGUACGAACGCAAGUUUAAAACUCAAAGGAAUUGACGGGGACCCGCACAAGCGGUGGAGGAUGUGGUUUAAUCCGACGCAACGCGCAGAACCUUACCGAGGUUUGACAUCCCAGGAAGGCCGCCGAAAGGUGGCUGUGCCUUCGGGAACCUGGUGACAGAUGCUGCAUGGCCGUCGUCAGCUCGUGCCG